rnacentral:ribozyme from 13 species
UUCUCUCUUUUUCCUCUCUCUUUUCUCUUUUCUUUUUCCCUUUUCUUUUCUCUUUAACUCUGAUCAGAAACAGAGACGGCAGAAGAGGAGAGGGGAGAAACAGAAGAAGGAGAAGAA